rnacentral:rRNA from 1 species
AGAGUUUGAUCCUGGCUCAGGAUGAACGCUGGCGGCGCGCCUAACACAUGCAAGUCGAACGGUUAAAGCACCUUUUAGGUGUGUAUAAAGUGGCGAACGGCUGAGUAACACGUGGGCAACCUGCCCUCCUCUUGGGGAUAGCCUCGGGAAACCGAGGAUAAUACCCGAUACUUCACUUGAGCCGCAUGACGACAUUGAGAAAGCUUUUGCGGAGAAGGAUGGGCCCGCGGCCUGUUAGCUUGUUGGUGGGGUAGAGGCCUACCAAGGCAAUGAUGGGUAGCUGGGUUGAGAGACCGACCAGCCAGAUUGGGACUGAGACACGGCCCAGACUCCUACGGGAGGCAGCAGUGGGGAAUCUUGGACAAUGGGCGAAAGCCUGAUGCAGCGACGCCGCGUGCGGGACGAAGGCCUUCGGGUUGUAAACCGCUUUCAGCAGGGACGAGGCGUAAGUGACGGUACCUGCAGAAGAAGCCCCGGCUAACUACGUGCCAGCAGCCGCGGUAAUACGUAGGGGGCAAGCGUUAUCCGGAUUCAUUGGGCGUAAAGCGCUCGUAGGCGGUCUGUUAGGUCGGGAGUUAAAUCCGGAGGCUCAACCUCCGCCCGCUCCCGAUACCGGCAGACUUGAGUUUGGUAGGGGAAGGUGGAAUUCCUAGUGUAGCGGUGGAAUGCGCAGAUAUUAGGAAGAACACCAGUGGCGAAGGCGGCCUUCUGGGCCAUAACUGACGCUGAGGAGCGAAAGCUAGGGGAGCAAACAGGAUUAGAUACCCUGGUAGUCCUAGCUGUAAACGAUGGACACUAGGUGUGGGGGAGCCUUUCCUCCGUGCCGCAGCUAACGCAUUAAGUGUCCCGCCUGGGGAGUACGGCCGCAAGGCUAAAACUCAAAGGAAUUGACGGGGACCCGCACAAGCAGCGGAGCAUGUGGUUUAAUUCGAAGCAACGCGAAGAACCUUACCAGGGCUUGACAUGUAGGUGAAGCGGCGGAAACGUCGUGGCCGA